rnacentral:rRNA from 1 species
UACGUAGGGGGCUAGCGUUGUCCGGAAUCAUUGGGCGUAAAGCGCGUGUAGGCGGUCCGGUAAGUCCGCUGUGAAAGUCGGGGGCUCAACCCUCGAAUGCCGGUGGAUACUGUCGGGCUAGAGUGCGGAAGAGGCGAGUGGAAUUCCUGGUGUAGCGGUGAAAUGCGUAGAUAUCAGGAGGAACACCAAUUGCGAAGGCAGCUCGCUGGGACGUUACUGACGCUGAGACGCGAAAGCGUGGGGAGUAAACAGG